CAAGAAAUAUAUUGACAGUAUUCAAAUUAGCUAAAUUGAGUGAAGAUGCCGCCGCCAAUAUCAUCGAACAUUUCUACUUUACGCAAACCGGUUUGGUCCGGGAAUCCAUUUACAACGGCGCAAAUUAAAAGGGGAGUUGGUGAAGGAAUGAUCAGCCUACAGAGUGGACCUCUGCACCAACCACCGAUUCAGAUGAUAGGCCGUCCAAUCGAAUUUGCUUCUCAUUUUGCAGUUCCCGAUUAAUAAUGAGUGCAGGUGAAAAAUUCCUAACAGUAAAGGGAUUGGCAACAUCCGCGACGGAGAACCGGAAUUGUAAACAACUGGAUAUUCGAGGGUCUAAUGAAUCUGAUGCCGUAGACACUUCUUAAAAGUCCGAAGUCCGAAGUUGUGGUCUUGAGGUCCCAACUAUGCCAAUUUUCGAUGCGCAGUCUUCAAAGUCAUGGGUUUCGAAUAAGACUCUCAUCCUGCUGUGCACAGUUGGAAAGGAUUGGA